rnacentral:lncRNA from 1 species
AUGGCCAAGCGGUGCGGCGGCGGCCGGGCGGAGGCGGAGGCGGAGGCGGAGGCGGAGGCGGAGGCGGAGGCGGCGCGGGGGCGCGGGCCGGGCCGGGCGGGCGCGGGCGCGGGCGCGGGGGCCUGGGCGCUGCGCGCUCCGCCGGCCCCUCUGCUCGGCUCGCGCUGCGCCGCGCGGCUCUCAGCGCUGCAGACUGGGCGUUGUGGAGGCGCGGCGGCGAGGCCGAGGCGGGGGCGGCGGGGGCGCGGGGGGCGGGGGGCGGGGGGGGCGGGGGGAGGCGGGUCUGGGGCCCGGCCGGGGGGGCUCGCCGUUGGCCUGCGCCCUCGUCUUUCCGGAGGCAGCGAGCUCUGCGGCGGCCGCGGCAGCAGUAAAUGGCGUCAUGUGGAUCCGAGGCGGAACAGAGCAGUUGUUGUCCCAGAGGAUAUAUCGCAUCCGGUCCCAGCUCAUUGGCUCCGCGGGGCUACAUUCACUCACACUUCAGCGCCCGCCAGCGCUCCGAGCCGCAGGAGGCAUUCAAAAGGGCAACCGCGCCGCCCCGCGCGUCCCCAGGCCGGUCCUGCCGCCCGGGCGCCGGCGCGCGGGGCGCCCCCGGGGCCGCGCCGGGCACCGCGGCUCACUCUGCCUAGUUGCACGGAAACCCCGACCCGAAGGUUUCCCCGGAGGCCGCGAGGACGAGCCGCGGGCUCGGACCCGACCUGGGGCACUUUCUCCUCGCCCCUGGGAAAGGGGGAGGGGAAGGGAACGGCCAAGCCCGACCCGGGCCACGCAGUGCUGUGCUGGCACGAAAACAACGAGGCACCAGCGCAAGCCGCCUCCCCCGCCUCGCAGCCGCGGACCGGAGGCGCGGAAUGCAGCUUCGGGGCUCCAGCACUUUGUGCCCCGACCGAGACUGGCCAUUGAUGGACUCACUCUGUAGUUUUCAGAGACUUAGCUAAGCGAUGGAAGAUCUGCUGUUGGACGCACUAGCUGAAGGGAACUCUGCGGUCGGAGCCUUUUUAAAAAUUCGUUAAUCACCUACACGGGGACUCAAGGUCGACACGCCGGGCUCCUGAAACGGUCCGGGGCUCGCUGUUCCCGGCAGAGUCCCUCCGCUUAGCCAAAAGGCCGCCGUCAUUUCUGACUCGCCCUUGUCACCUAGAGCAUUUCCCAAGAAGCUCCUGUUUUU